rnacentral:tRNA from 1 species
GGAAUGUGGCUUAGUGGUAGAGUGCUUGCCUAGCAAGCAUGAAGCCCUGGGUUCGAUUCCUUAGUACCA